ensembl:lncRNA
UAGGAAGCUUAUGCUUUCCAUGAGAAAACAAAUUCAAGCCUUAUGUAAAAUAAAAUGCACGCUUCCCUUGUAUUCCAUGUUAUGAUACAUUCAGGGAGACAUAAAGCUGUUUUUAAACCCCCAAUUUUUGAACCUAUCUGAUGUCUUCAGCGAUUCGCCUUGAUUUGAAGUAUGAUAGCCCUGUGUCUAGGUGAACUCUUGUUUAUAAACCAGAAAUGAAAAAGUGCUUCACAGAGGGCUGUUCUGUAUGUUUUUAUACGUGUGGCCCUGGUGGCACCGUGCUGUCGUAGACUCUGCUGCGACACAGCUGUCACUUGCUGUCCUGCCUUGAAGACCUUUCCAGGUAGACACACAAUUCUCCCACAGAGCAGAGUCGCAGAGGACCCAACCUUUUAUUAAAGCCUAUCAUAAAUCGAGAACAAUUAUUUCUAACAUGCUGUACCUAUCUCCAGGUUCAAGUGUUUAUUUGAAACAUAAACAGAGUCCUUGGGAAAUGUUGCUGGUAUCUGCCCUGUUCCCCAGGGGAGAAGCCAGAGAGCGUGGCAGGUGUCAGUUCUGUCCUGGGACCUCGGCCUCCUGAUGUUCCUCACCAAGGCCUGGUCCUCCUUCAGGGGUCCCGUGUGGCUUCCCCCCACACUCAAGGGGCCCAGGCCUUUUGAUAUCUGCUCCCCCGGGUGGCCACCGCCUCCACCUACCCUCCCCUGAGGGCCACACAUCCUGCUGCUCUGUGCAGAUUCCGCUGGAACCCCUUCCAGCGCGGCCAGGCUCAGAGCCUGGUGGCCCUGGGAUGGCGUUGUCUCUGCCUGUGGCCACCCUGGGGGUGGGGGUGCUGCCUUGGCUUCCUGAGCCCGACUUCCACGUGGCACACGGCACCGUCUCCACAGCACAUGCGGCCCCUGAGCCCAACCCCCAUGUGCACAUGGCACUGUUCACCUCACAGGGCUCCUGAUCCCGACCCUGCCUUGCACAGGACACUGUUCACCACACAGGGCUCCUGAUCCCAACCCUACGCUGCACAGGGCACUGUUCACCUCACAGGACUCCUGAUCCCGACCCUGCGCUGCACGCGGCAGUGCUCACCUCACAGGGCUCCUGAGCCCAACCCCCGUGUGCCCAUGGGGCUGCUCACCACCACAGGGGCCUCCUGAGCCCGAAGAGAAGCGUGGUGGCAAGGACAGCGACCAUGACUCUCCGCGCAGCCGUGAACCCUUAUCCUGGGCUGGAGCCAUCAUAGAGGACGGGGACGCUCCUCAGCUCUGCAGUUAUCCCCGUGGUCUCCCAAGGACAAACACCAUUCUUGAGGGAAGAUCACAGCUUCUCGCCAGCCUCCCUGACGAGGUCAGUCACGCGCUGAGACCAGAGUGGGGGCAUCAUCCUCCUUUCCUGCACAGUAAAUACAGCGAUAACAGUCUGGAUCAGUGGAGCCAGUUGUGGAAAUCCACAGGAAUUUGAGUUUCAGCCAUUGUUCCAGGCAGCGUUUUCGGGGGAAGGGUUUACCAGUUGUCCACGAUGGGCUGUGAAUGAAUGACGCUUCAUGAAUGUAACUUUAAACACUUGAUCAGAAGGAGAAAACAGAUGACAUGUUUCUGAGAUAUCAUGACUAAGACGAUUUUUUAAAAUAUCAUUUAAAAAGAUAAGUAUUGAGGAAGCUUCAAUUUCAAACCAACUCCCCAAGAAAGUUUUAGGGUGAAUCAAACAUCUUUUUCUGUAGUUGAGUUAAUAACUCUAAAUAUAUCCAUUUUGUCUGUGAGAAUGCUUUCAUAUCCGUUUUUUAAAGUACUUUUAAUUCUCAAACUUUAAAAAAAUGACAAUGAAUAUUUUUGGCAAUGAUGAGUUUAUGCUAUGCACACUGCUUUGUAACCUUUUUUCCUCUAAUGAAGUGUGAUGGGUGUUAUCUUUUAUUCUCUUUCUCAGUUUUUGCUGCUGGUGGAGUCUUUUAGAUCUGGGUUUAUUCAAACACAUAGAAGCAAAUGGAUUGAGAGUGAGCAUCUGCCUCUCCUCACAUUUCCUACGCUAGAAAUGACUGUUGUUAGGAUGGUCAACCAUCUUCCAGCCUUAUUUCCACGCCUGUAAAAUAAACGGGUCUCUAUGUAAAAUACACCUCUUUUUCUCACAAAUUGAUCCUGUUGAGCUUAUUUUGUGCUUCAAAGUGCCUUUUGUCACUUGACAUAUAUCAGAUAAAUUUCCUGGCCAUUGAUGUUUCUCUUGCAUUUUAGUGGCUGGGUGACAUUGCAAAUAUGGAUGUACUAUCACAUACGUCAUGUGGACAUUUGGGUUAUUUUUCUUUUAAAUGAAUGCUGAAAUAAACUUCUUUGUGUAUUUACCUUUCUUGAUUAUACAGAUGUCUUUUCAGCACAGGUUCCUCAGAGAGGUGGCUGGGCCAUCGCUGACAUUCGUGCCUUCACUGCCCGUGCCAUGUGCUCACACACUGUACACAUUUAACCAUUUCCUUACUGAUGGAGAGUGAGAUUCUUUCCCCAUGUUAGUUUUUCCUAAAGUGCAUUCUAGUUUUAAGCAAAUGGGAAUGAGCCCAGCUUAAGGUCAUAUCCCUUUGGAACAUGAAGGUUCAGAUAAGGCAUGAACUUGAGAAUUCUGUGCCAGUUAGGCUUUGGGUACCUGUGGUUUUGAGAAUGAGUAGAUUAUUAUUACUCAUUGAUUCUAAGAAUGAGUAACUGUUGCUAAGGCUUAAGAUGCCCUUAAUGGUUUGAAUACCUUCAUGAAUUUCAGAUUAUUCGUGUUCAGUAGUCGUAUGGAAAGAUAAGGAUGUGAAACCUAGAAUUCAAUUCAGAACAAUAGGAAAAGUUCAAAAUUUUGCCAUGCAUGACUAUUUCAACAUUUCAAUGCACAAUUUGUCUUAAAUUAUGGGAUUUUUUUCUUGGAUGGCUUGUGGAUUUCUGGGGAAUGUACAUAUACCUAUGUACAUUUAUUGCUGAAAGAGGUUUUUUUUACCACUUUAUAAAAUCUUAAGGGAUCCCAAAAGUGAUAUUCCACGAACAGGUGUUUUCUUCCUGAUGACUAUGCUAAUGUCUUUACGUCAGGUUCUUCACUGUAUUUAGUCUGUAGCCUCUCUGCUGACACACAAAUGCACUCACACACAUGCUCAUUUGCCCUCAUGCCGACACACAUGCACACACAUUGUUACUCACCUGUCUUCCUAAUUUUUCUUUCCUUUGGUGUUCCCUCAGUUUUGAAUUUUAAUUUGGUGACUUCAGGCAGAGUCUGACUUGUGACUUCUGUUUAUGUUGUAACUGGGAAUAUGACUUUUAUUGAAUACAAGCCACAUGUGGGCAGUAAAAAGAUGAUUAUGACAGCUAUGCUCGUGGGGUGCCUGCCCCCCACUGGGGCUUGGCUGACUGCUUUCAGGUACCGACCCACCUAAUUCUCUGAGAACCUUUCAUGGUCAGUAGGAAUAGGAAGCAUGGCCCUGUGAGCUGAAGUGACUUGUGGGGGCUCCAUCAGUGUGGAGGUGUUCACAGGAGGUCCACAGGGAGGAACUCCAGAGCCUGUGCCUCCUGCUACUCCUCCCCCACAUUCCUCCAGGUCCUUGCAUUCGCUCAUGCACCUGGACCAGAGGAUAGGGCUCCCUGGCAUCCGUGUGGGGCUACUGUUCCAUACCAGCCUCCCCUGAUGGCGGCCAAGCCUCAGGCCAGCACCAUGAGUGCAUCCUUGAGAGUCGGGAGGGCCGGGCAGACUUGACCACCGUUUUUUCCACUCUGUUUAAGUUUCUGUAACAUACAGGGACAAAAGAAAGAAAGCCCUUAUACAUGCACUGGGCAGUGCCUGUGUCAGCGAGUGACAGGCUUUUAGCAGCAGUAGGUCCUCACCUCACAUCUUCAGUAGGGUUCCUGGAAGCUGCGACUAAGUGCAUUCACGUAUAAUGAAACCAAUGUUUUUUCCUCAUCCACCCUGUAAGGAAUCAAAGUUGAACUAAAAGACAUUAUUGCAGGAUUUGCUGUAAGUUGUUUCACCUGAAGUCACAGUUCCUGUGAACCGAUCAGUGACAUUGAGGACUUGCUGCAUAGCGUGUUGAUUCAUUAGAGGCUCAGCUUGGGUGGGCCACGGGGUUCCCAGGCAUCAGUCAGAUGUUCUUCUGGGGAUGCCUGGAGGCGUUUCUGGAUGAGAUUCUGAUGAUAAUUUUUGGCCUCAGUGAAGCAGACCGCUCCCCAGGGCAGGUGGGCUCACACAAUCCCCUCAAAGGCCUGACUAGAAUGAAGGACACCUUCCCCCAAGUCUGAGAGAAUUCCUGCUUGAUGGCCUCUGAUGUCAGCUCUUCCUGGGUCUCCAGCCUCCAGGCUUCAGAAUGGAACUUCACAGUUGGCUCCCUGGGCCUCCUGCUGGCCGACACACUCCACAGAUCUUGGGACUCGUCAGCCUCCAUGCACGUGUGAGCCAAUCCCUUAAAAUCUUCUCUGCACAUGCACACCCUGUUGGUUUCUCCGGAGACUCCUGAAGAAUACACAAACCCGUGCAAGUUUGUAGCGCAGCAAACCCAGCGGUGCUGGAGCAGCUCGUGCUGGCUUGCAAGAACCAACUGUUAAGUUUUCAGGAAUCUUGUGUGCCAGUUUUAAAAAAAAAGAUAUAAACUUAAAUAAUUAUAUUACCAACAAACAAUGCAUAUUCAAAACUUGUCGUGCCCUAGGUACUUUGUGGGUGCUCUAAAAGUUCCUUAUUUCUCUCUUGUCUGCAGGGAGGUGCAGUUCAUGCUGUGCUGCUGCACACCUCCCCUCAGCUCCCUAUUCAGUGAUGUCUUAGGGGUGACUUGGAGGGAGUCUGGUGGGAAAAUUCACACCGUGGGUAUCAGCAGAUAUUUUGCAUCAGGCUCUGAUUUAUCAUUUUGGUGAUUGUGUAGACUU